rnacentral:rRNA from 1 species
GGUUAAGCGACUAAGCGUACACGGUGGAUGCCCUGGCAGUCAGAGGCGAUGAAGGACGUGCUAAUCUGCGAUAAGCGUCGGUAAGGUGAUAUGAACCGUUAUAACCGGCGAUUUCCGAAUGGGGAAACCCAGUGUGUUUCGACACACUAUCAUUAACUGAAUCCAUAGGUUAAUGAGGCGAACCGGGGGAACUGAAACAUCUAAGUACCCCGAGGAAAAGAAAUCAACCGAGAUUCCCCCAGUAGCGGCGAGCGAACGGGGAGGAGCCCAGAGCCUGAAUCAGUGUGUGUGUUAGUGGAAGCGUCUGGAAAGGCGUGCGAUACAGGGUGACAGCCCCGUACACAAAAAUGCACAUACUGUGAGCUCGAUGAGUAGGGCGGGACACGUGGUAUCCUGUCUGAAUAUGGGGGGACCAUCCUCCAAGGCUAAAUACUCCUGACUGACCGAUAGUGAACCAGUACCGUGAGGGAAAGGCGAAAAGAACCCCGGCGAGGGGAGUGAAAAAGAACCUGAAACCGUGUACGUACAAGCAGUGGGAGCCUCUUAAUGGGGUGACUGCGUACCUUUUGUAUAAUGGGUCAGCGACUUAUAUUCUGUAGCAAGGUUAACCGAAUAGGGGAGCCGAAGGGAAACCGAGUCUUAACUGGGCGUUAAGUUGCAGGGUAUAGACCCGAAACCCGGUGAUCUAGCCAUGGGCAGGUUGAAGGUUGGGUAACACUAACUGGAGGACCGAACCGACUAAUGUUGAAAAAUUAGCGGAUGACUUGUGGCUGGGGGUGAAAGGCCAAUCAAACCGGGAGAUAGCUGGUUCUCCCCGAAAGCUAUUUAGGUAGCGCCUCGUGAAUUCAUCUCCGGGGGUAGAGCACUGUUUCGGCAAGGGGGUCAUCCCGACUUACCAACCCGAUGCAAACUGCGAAUACCGGAGAAUGUUAUCACGGGAGACACACGGCGGGUGCUAACGUCCGUCGUGAAGAGGGAAACAACCCAGACCGCCAGCUAAGGUCCCAAAGUCAUGGUUAAGUGGGAAACGAUGUGGGAAGGCCCAGACAGCCAGGAUGUUGGCUUAGAAGCAGCCAUCAUUUAAAGAAAGCGUAAUAGCUCACUGGUCGAGUCGGCCUGCGCGGAAGAUGUAACGGGGCUAAACCAUGCACCGAAGCUGCGGCAGCGACACUAUGUGUUGUUGGGUAGGGGAGCGUUCUGUAAGCCUGUGAAGGUGUACUGUGAGGUAUGCUGGAGGUAUCAGAAGUGCGAAUGCUGACAUAAGUAACGAUAAAGCGGGUGAAAAGCCCGCUCGCCGGAAGACCAAGGGUUCCUGUCCAACGUUAAUCGGGGCAGGGUGAGUCGACCCCUAAGGCGAGGCCGAAAGGCGUAGUCGAUGGGAAACAGGUUAAUAUUCCUGUACUUGGUGUUACUGCGAAGGGGGGACGGAGAAGGCUAUGUUGGCCGGGCGACGGUUGUCCCGGUUUAAGCGUGUAGGCUGGUUUUCCAGGCAAAUCCGGAAAAUCAAGGCUGAGGCGUGAUGACGAGGCACUACGGUGCUGAAGCAACAAAUGCCCUGCUUCCAGGAAAAGCCUCUAAGCAUCAGGUAACAUCAAAUCGUACCCCAAACCGACACAGGUGGUCAGGUAGAGAAUACCAAGGCGCUUGAGAGAACUCGGGUGAAGGAACUAGGCAAAAUGGUGCCGUAACUUCGGGAGAAGGCACGCUGAUAUGUAGGUGAAGUCCCUCGCGGAUGGAGCUGAAAUCAGUCGAAGAUACCAGCUGGCUGCAACUGUUUAUUAAAAACACAGCACUGUGCAAACACGAAAGUGGACGUAUACGGUGUGACGCCUGCCCGGUGCCGGAAGGUUAAUUGAUGGGGUUAGCGGUAACGCGAAGCUCUUGAUCGAAGCCCCGGUAAACGGCGGCCGUAACUAUAACGGUCCUAAGGUAGCGAAAUUCCUUGUCGGGUAAGUUCCGACCUGCACGAAUGGCGUAAUGAUGGCCAGGCUGUCUCCACCCGAGACUCAGUGAAAUUGAACUCGCUGUGAAGAUGCAGUGUACCCGCGGCAAGACGGAAAGACCCCGUGAACCUUUACUAUAGCUUGACACUGAACAUUGAGCCUUGAUGUGUAGGAUAGGUGGGAGGCUUUGAAGUGUGGACGCCAGUCUGCAUGGAGCCGACCUUGAAAUACCACCCUUUAAUGUUUGAUGUUCUAACGUUGGCCCCUUACCGGGGUUGCGGACAGUGUCUGGUGGGUAGUUUGACUGGGGCGGUCUCCUCCUAAAGAGUAACGGAGGAGCACGAAGGUUGGCUAAUCCUGGUCGGACAUCAGGAGGUUAGUGCAAUGGCAUAAGCCAGCUUGACUGCGAGCGUGACGGCGCGAGCAGGUGCGAAAGCAGGUCAUAGUGAUCCGGUGGUUCUGAAUGGAAGGGCCAUCGCUCAACGGAUAAAAGGUACUCCGGGGAUAACAGGCUGAUACCGCCCAAGAGUUCAUAUCGACGGCGGUGUUUGGCACCUCGAUGUCGGCUCAUCACAUCCUGGGGCUGAAGUAGGUCCCAAGGGUAUGGCUGUUCGCCAUUUAAAGUGGUACGCGAGCUGGGUUUAGAACGUCGUGAGACAGUUCGGUCCCUAUCUGCCGUGGGCGCUGGAGAACUGAGGGGGGCUGCUCCUAGUACGAGAGGACCGGAGUGGACGCAUCACUGGUGUUCGGGUUGUCAUGCCAAUGGCACUGCCCGGUAGCUAAAUGCGGAAGAGAUAAGUGCUGAAAGCAUCUAAGCACGAAACUUGCCCCGAGAUGAGUUCUCCCUGACUCUUUAAGGGUCCUGAAGGAACGUUGAAGACGACGACGUUGAUAGGCCGGGUGUGUAAGCGCAGCGAUGCGUUGAGCUAACCGGUACUAAUGAACCGUGAGGCUUAACCUU